rnacentral:rRNA from 1 species
GAUGAACGCUGGCGGUGCGCCUAACACAUGCAAGUCGAACGCGAACCAUUUUAGAUCACUUUGAAGGGCUUGCCUGGAUGAGUGUGAUAUUUUUCGGUUUGAGUGGCGAACGAGAGAGUAAUGUAUUGGUAUCUCCCCCAAGUCAGGGAUAGCCCAUUGAAAGAUGGAUUAAUACCGGAUGGUCCCGCAAGGGUAAGCAGCAAUGCGCUCGGGGAAGAGCCUGUAUCCUAUCAGCUAGUGCGGGUAAUAGCCACAAGGCAAUGACGGGUAGCUAGGUCUGAGAGGACGACCAGCCUCGAUGGAACUGAGACACGGUCCAUACACCUA